rnacentral:rRNA from 1 species
GAGCUUGCUCUUCUGGAUGAGUUGCGAACGGGUGAGUAACGCGUAGGUAACCUGCCUGGUAGCGGGGGAUAACUAUUGGAAACGAUAGCUAAUACCGCAUGACAACAGUUAUUGCAUGAUAACUGUUUAAAAGGGGCAAUUGCUCCACUACCAGAUGGACCUGCGUUGUAUUAGCUAGUUGGUGAGGUAACGGCUCACCAAGGCGACGAUACAUAGCCGACCUGAGAGGGUGAUCGGCCACACUGGGACUGAGACACGGCCCAGACUCCUACGGGAGGCAGCAGUAGGGAAUCUUCGGCAAUGGACGGAAGUCUGACCGAGCAACGCCGCGUGAGUGAAGAAGGUUUUCGGAUCGUAAAGCUCUGUUGUAAGAGAAGAACGAGUGUGAGAGUGGAAAGUUCACACUGUGACGGUAUCUUACCAGAAAGGGACGGCUAACUACGUGCCAGCAGCCGCGGUAAUACGUAGGUCCCGAGCGUUAUCCGGAUUUAUUGGGCGUAAAGCGAGCGCAGGCGGUUAGAUAAGUCUGAAGUUAAAGGCUGUGGCUUAACCAUAGUACGCUUUGGAAACUGUUUAACUUG